rnacentral:rRNA from 1 species
UGCAGGAUGACGGUCCUAUGGAUUGUAAACUGCUUUUGUACGGGAAGAAACACUCCUUCGUGAGGGAGCUUGACGGUACCGUAAGAAUAAGGAUCGGCUAACUCCGUGCCAGCAGCCGCGGUAAUACGGAGGAUCCAAGCGUUAUCCGGAAUCAUUGGGUUUAAAGGGUCCGUAGGCGGUCUUGUAAGUCAGUGGUGAAAGCCCAUCGCUCAACGGUGGAACGGCCAUUGAUACUGCAGGACUUGAAUUAUUGGGAAGUAACUAGAAUAUGUAGUGUAGCGGUGAAAUGCUUAGAGAUUACAUGGAAUACCAAUUGCGAAGGCAGGUUACUACCAAUUGAUUGACGCUGAUGGACGAAAGCGUGGGUAGCGAACAGGAUUAGAUACCCUGGUAGUCCACGCCGUAAACGA